rnacentral:rRNA from 1 species
GAUGAACGCUGGCGGCGUGCCUAAUACAUGCAAGUCGAGCGAACAGACGAGGAGCUUGCUCCUCUGACGUUAGCGGCGGACGGGUGAGUAACACGUGGAUAACCUACCUAUAAGACUGGGAUAACUUCGGGAAACCGGAGCUAAUACCGGAUAAUAUAUUGAACCGCAUGGUUCAACAGUGAAAGACGGUUUUGCUGUCACUUAUAGAUGGAUCCGCGCCGCAUUAGCUAGUUGGUAAGGUAACGGCUUACCAAGGCAACGAUGCGUAGCCGACCUGAGAGGGUGAUCGGCCACACUGGAACUGAGACACGGUCCAGACUCCUACGGGAGGCAGCAGUAGGGAAUCUUCCGCAAUGGGCGAAAGCCUGACGGAGCAACGCCGCGUGAGUGAUGAAGGUCUUCGGAUCGUAAAACUCUGUUAUUAGGAAAGAACAAAUGUGUAAGUAACUAUGCACGUCUUGACGGUACCUAAUCAGAAAGCCACGGCUAACUACGUG